rnacentral:rRNA from 1 species
GGCCAGCAGCCGCGGUAAUACAGAGGUCCCGAGCGUUGUUCGGAUUUACUGGGCGUAAAGGGUGCGUAGGCGGUUGGGUAAGUCUGAUGUGAAAUCCCCGGGCUCAACCCGGGAAUGGCAUCGGAAACUACCUGGCUUGAGGAUUGGAGGGGGGACUGGAAUUCCCGGUGUAGCAGUGAAAUGCGUAGAUAUCGGGAGGAACACCAGUGGCGAAGGCGAGUCCCUGGACAAUUCCUGACGCUGAGGCACGAAAGCCAGGGGAGCAAACAGGAUUAGAUACCCUGGUAGUCCUGGCUGUAAACGGUGCACGUUUGCUGUGAGCGGAAUCGACCCCGUUCGUGGCGAAGCUAACGCGUUAAACGUGCCGCCUGGGGAGUACGGUCGCAAGAUUAAAACUCAAAGGAAUUGACGGGGGCCCGCACA